GAUGAACGCUGGCGGCGUGCCUAAUACAUGCAAGUCGAGCGAACAGACGAGGACCUUUCUCCUCUGACUUUAUCGGCGGACGGGUGCUUAACACGUGUAUAACCUACCUAUAAGACUGGGAUAACUUCGUGAAACCGUAUCUAAUACCGGAUAAUAUAUUGAACCGCAUGGUUCAAUAGUUAAAUACGGUUUUUCUUUCACUUAUAGAUGGAUCCGCCCCGCAUUAGCUAGUUGGGAAGGUAACGGCUUACCAAGGCAACGAUGCGUAGCCGACCUGAGAGGGUGAUCGGCCACACUGGAACGGAGACACGGUCCAGACUCUUACGGGAGGAAGCAGUAGGGAAUCUUACGCAAUGGGGGAAAGCGUGACGGAGCAACGCCGCGUGAGUGAUGAAGGUCUUCGGAUCGUAAAACUCUGUAAUUAGGGAAGAAAAAAUGUGUAAGUACCUAUGCACGUAUUGACGGUACCUAAUGAGAAAGCCACGGCUAACUACGUG
rnacentral:rRNA from 1 species